rnacentral:rRNA from 1 species
AUUGAACGCUGGCGGCAUGCCUUACACAUGCAAGUCGAACGGCAGCACGGGAGCAAUCCUGGUGGCGAGUGGCGAACGGGUGAGUAAUAUAUCGGAACGUGCCCAGUCGUGGGGGAUAACGUAGCGAAAGCUACGCUAAUACCGCAUACGAUCUAUGGAUGAAAGCGGGGGAUCGCAAGACCUCGCGCGAUUGGAGCGGCCGAUAUCAGAUUAGGUAGUUGGUGGGGUAAAAGCCUACCAAGCCUUCGAUCUGUAGCUGGUCUGAGAGGACGACCAGCCACACUGGAACUGAGACACGGUCCAGACUCCUACGGGAGGCAGCAGUGGGGAAUUUUGGACAAUGGGCGCAAGCCUGAUCCAGCAAUGCCGCGUGCAGGAUGAAGG